GUACUCGAGCGGCGAACGGGUGAGUAACACGUGAGUAACCUGCCCCUGACUCUGGGAUAAGCCUGGGAAACCGGGUCUAAUACCGGAUAUGACCGCCUCCGGCAUCGGAUGGUGGUGGAAAGUUUUUUCGGUUGGGGAUGGGCUCGCGGCCUAUCAGCUUGUUGGUGGGGUAGUGGCCUACCAAGGCGACGACGGGUAGCCGGCCUGAGAGGGCGACCGGCCACACUGGGACUGAGACACGGCCCAGACUCCUACGGGAGGCAGCAGUGGGGAAUAUUGCGCAAUGGGCGGAAGCCUGACGCAGCGACGCCGCGUGGGGGAUGACGGCCUUCGGGUUGUAAACCUCUUUCAGCAGGGACGAAGUUGACGUGUACCUGCAGAAGAAGCGCCGGCUAACUACGUGCCAGCAGCCGCGGUAAUACGUAGGGCGCAAGCGUUGUCCGGAAUUAUUGGGCGUAAAGAGCUCGUAGGUGGCUGGUCGCGUCUGCCGUGAAAGCCCGCAGCUUAACUGCGGGUCUGCGGUGGAUACGGGCCGGCUAGAGGUAGGUAGGGGCAAGUGGAAUUCCUGGUGUAGCGGUGAAAUGCGCAGAUAUCAGGAGGAACACCGGUGGCGAAGGCGGCUUGCUGGGCCUUACCUGACGCUGAGGAGCGAAAGCGUGGGGAGCGAACAGGAUUAGAUACCCUGGUAGUCCACGCUGUAAACGUUGGGCGCUAGGUGUG
rnacentral:rRNA from 1 species